rnacentral:lncRNA from 9 species
AAGACUCUUGUGUACUCUUGCAGUAUAGGAAUUAUUAAAAUUCUGUAUUAAGUUGUCAACCGAGUUUUAAUUUUUUUUCUAAAACUAUGAAUACAUAGAGCCAGAUUCAGGUCUAUCCCGUGGUGAGUUCUGCUAUUGGGUGAACACAGUGGUAAUGAUAUUACAUUAGAUUAUUAUGCAGAUGCGCACAUAUAUUGAUGUUUUGUCUUUCAUUUUUAGUUUGAAAUCAAUUCUACUUUAGUGUUAGUACAUUCUGGAUAGAAAGGAUAUCCUACUGUGAUUUCAGCAUAAUAAAAUUUGAUUGAAGUGUCAAUGAUUCAGCUGUGUUUUGUAUUACAAAGUUAAACAUAGCCUUUUCAUUUAAACAAAGUGUUUCAGAAUAGAUGGGGGUGUCAGGACAAUAGGGCACUGUGGAACAAUUCAAGUACGUGGCAUACUCAUUGGAAAAUAACAAAUAAUUUAUUUACUGGACUCUGACCAUGACUGGAGCUGUACCUCCCCCCUCACAUUUCAAGCACAAGAUCUUCACAAGUAGCAAAACUUGCUGAACAAAUAUUACUUUUAAUUUUCUUGGAUGUUAUUGCAGAAAACAAUGAAUGGUUUAAAAUUCUAAGGAAAGGGGAUGCUAAAUAUAAAAAAAGCCUAGAUAUUUUAUUAUUUAUGUAUUUAAGACAAUUUUCCUUUUGGGGGAUGGAGGCAGGUUGGGAGAACAGCUUCUAAAUACAGUGAUGGCUUCAUUAUUGAAAAUGAAGUGGUGUAUCUUUGCAAAGUGUAGAUAGCUUCAUUCAGAUUCUCAUUAUGGCCAUGGGUUUAUAAAUUACAAUAAUAAAAUAACUGUGAGAUUAUAAUAGGAAUUUAGACCACAUCAUUCUUUUAAAACAUUAUAUAUAUAUGAAUAUAAAUUGGCAGUGAAUAUAGUUCAUAAUUAAGAGUCAGAGACUGAGAGUUUAAUCUUACCUCUACAACUAACUAGUCAUCUAAACUUAAUUAAAAAUCCACAUUUAACUUUAUCUGCUAAAAUAUGAGUUAGCCCUCUACUUCAAUGCUUCUACCCUCUUCUGAUUGAAAAUCAAUUCUCUAAACUCCUGUUUUCUCAUUUGUAAAAGUGGGAUCACAAUAGCCAUACAUUCCUGAUACGAUGAUGUACAUAAAACACUAGUCACGCAGCGUAAGUGUACAAUAUAUGCUACUUGCUACUAUCAUUAUUAUCAAAAUUGCCAUGGCUAUUGUAAUUAUCGGUUGUCAUCAUCACCAUCAUUGACAUUAUAUUCACGUGUAAAUAUUAUCGGUGAUUGUUAUUUUCUUCUUCAUAUUCUCCUAUGUAUUUCAGAAUUUUGUAUACUGAUUACUUACUAAUGUUAUAAUGUCACAUACUUAUUAUAGGUUCAUGGAAGAGGUAUUGGUUUUUAUCAUCUGAUUUAAAACAUAAAGUUUGGUGUUAUCAAACCAAACCUGGGUCCUCUUGCCUGUGUGCAGUAAAGACAAUCAAUUGACACAGAGUUGUAGUGGAGGAAAGUCCAGCUUUUAUUGUAAGAAGUCCAGAGUGGCAAAUGCUCAAAAAGUCUGAACUCCAGGUUGGGUUUCAAGAAAGCAUUUCUAAACUCCAGGUGAGGGAGCUGGGGGUCACAGGGUUUGUGACUAGCAUGUGCAGUUCUCUGAUUGGUUGAUGGUGAGGUAACAGGACAGUGUCACAGGAUGAUCAAUCCUUACGCUUGGUAGUUUGGGGGCGGGGGCUGAGGGCCCUUCGCAUCUGUAAAAUAACUCAAGUAAGGUACAAUAGACACUGUUAUCUAGGUACCAGAGAGGAGCUAAAGCAGAGGAUAUAGUGGAGGGGUCUGUCCCAGGAAGGCCCCACAGGGUCCUGCUCAGUUACAUUGAGAGAAUUCACUAGAACCGACCAGGUUAUGCUCUCCCCCUUUCCUUUAAAAAAAAAUGUUGCUUAUUAGACUGUAAGUAAGGACAGAUUGUAAUUAAAAUUCAAGGACAAUAAUUUGUCUCGUUUAUGAAAUAUAUCCACUAGAAAAGGAAUAAGGAAAUAAAGUGCAUUUUGAUCUUUCUCUGCAAAACUUUGACAAAAUCUAUUGGCCCCUUUCCAAGUGGCCAUCUCUGUCUCUGUCAGCAAGGGCACUGUCGGGAAAGAAAAACUUUUUCACUACUCACUUAGGUUUAAUAUUUGGGGUCCUGCAAAUUAAACCAACAAAAGACUGAUUCAUAAUAGAAAAGUCAAAAUUUAAUCAUAUAUUUUUAUUAACAUACAUGUAGAAGUUCACAGACAAAUGUGAUUCUAGGAAGAGAUUAGAAAUUGAGCCUUAUAUACCAUCUUAAUAGGAGAAGGAAAAGGGGAGAAGGGCACAUCUGGGAAAACGAAUGACAUCUUAACAUGGGAAGUGGUGCAGAAGCAAAGGAAUUUAUAGGAAAACAAGUGGCUUUUAGGAACAAUAGUAGAUGGGCCCUUAAGAUAAUAGACAGGCAAUCUGAGAGUUUUGUGGCAAUGUCUGUUUAUGGGUAUGCUUACUUACUUCUUCCCUCAAGUGGUAAGAGUCUUCCUAGAUUUCUAAACUCCAGGGAAGAAAAUGAAUGACAAUUGGAUAAUUUUGGGACACUCUGCUUUUAGCUUUUAAGAAGAAAAGGGAGUUCAGAAAAAAAAAAAAAAUUGUAUUCUCAAGUGCCUUCAGCUCAAAAUAAUUUUUAUGCCACAGUGGCCUGUCCUGGACCCUUUCAUCACUGUGUAUUUCAUGAUAUGAGUUUUAAACAUGUUGGAUACUCUCUCUGAAUAAACAACUUGCUGGGAUCAUUUUUUUUUUUUUAACCUUACUAGGUGGUGUUCCGUUUAAAACAUAUGCAGUGUACCAAUGGACAUUAUGGUUGUACAGGAUCUAGAAAGUUGCUGUUGGCUGACAAAGAGUGACAGGGAAAUCUGUUUAUUAGCGGACUCUCAGGCCCUAUCCUUUCUGGUAUCUCCUUUUGUAAGUGGAAUCACUGCCCAAAAGUUUCAUAGAGAUCACCUGACAGUAUUUAUGUGUUCUUGGCAUUCGCAGAUGGAAAGAGUAGAUUAUUUUAUUUAUUUUACAUUUGAAGAAAUUGAGAUUUUCAACACUGCUCCUCUCUUGGUUUAUGCUAUUCAGAUCAACUUGGUGCACAUCCAGUAGAUUACAUUCAGUUAAUGCAUUAACGUUUUUAUAUCUGCAUUUUAUAUCAAUUAAAAUGACUCAGGGGAGUUCCCAUUGUGGCUCAGUGGUAACGAACCUCAUAGAAACUCUGAGGAUGUGGGUUCACUCCCUGGCCUUGCUCGGUGAGUUAAGGAUCCAGUGUUGCCACAAGCUGCUACGUAGGUUGCAGAUGUGGCUCAGAUCCUGCCUUGUUGUGGCUAUGACAGUGACAUAGGCCAGCAGCUGCAGCCCUGAUUUGACUCCUGGCCUGGAAACUUCCAUAUGCCACGAGUGUGCCCUAAAAGCCUCCCCCCCAAAAAGACUCAGUACCACUCUGUCACUUUCUUUCUAGCUGCUGUGCUAUCAAGAACAGAUUUUAGAAUUCUUUUAUGUAAUUAACCCAUGUUCACUGUAAAAAGUGAAACAGAAAACUUGAAAAUUUAUAUGAGCAAAAAUAAAAAUGAAAAAACUUGUAUAAAUAUAUGAACAAGAGAUAAGUGUUAAAAUUUUUAUUUAUGUUCUUCCAGAUAUGCAACACAAAUGUAUAUAAAUUAUUUUUAGGAAAUGAGGGGGGUUGCUUACUGUUCAUAGUAUUUUGUAAUCUGCUUUUCUCUCUGAGAAAUAUGUCAUGAAUAUUCUUCCAGGUUAGUAAGGUAAAAUUAUUUUUCAAACAUUGCCUAUGUCCUCCUACAUAAUUGAAAUAUACUUAAAAAAACCCAUACCCUAUAAUUGGAUAUUUGGAUUGCCUCAAUAUUUCAGUAAUAAAACCAUUUUACUUUGAUCAUCCUUUUCAUAUAUAUUUAUGAAUGUCCUAUUUUAUCAGAUAUACAUCCUUAUCCCUCAGAUAUAUCCUUAGAAAUAUAAUGAUUCAGUUUACAAUUAUUAAACAACCAUAAUUUUGUAAUUAAUAAUCCUUAUCCUUUGUAUAUAAUUUUUUUCUAUUUGCUGUUGAUAAAUAACCCCCUCUGCCCUCCUCUCCUUUUCCCCAUGGAUUUCCCAUGUUCCUGCUUCUCUGAUUUGAAGUUUUUGGUAUUUUUCUUUUUUCUCUAUUUAGUCCUUUUAAUUUAUAUUUCUUACAAAUAUAAUAAUUUUGAUAUGAUAUAAGAAUCUUUUAUAAAUAUAAAAGAACUCAUUAUAAAUAUAUAAACAUUUCAAUGUUUGUUGAAUUGGCAAAGAGUAUAUCAAAGACGAAAAGUAAAGUGACAGUCCAAUAUUACUUAAAUGCAAUUGCAUAAUAUUGUAUUUCUACUUAAAACUAUAAAACUUACAUAAACAAUGAAUGGAAAGUAACUUGAGAAUACAAAUAUAGGUCUAUGGUACCAUAGAGAGACACACAUAUUUAAGAAAAUAAAGAAUUUCUCCAUUUUUUAGUACUCCACUUUCUUAACCACAUAUCAACUGUGAAAACUACUCAGCCUCAGUUCUACAUUUGACUGCCUAUGAAGCAUACUCAAUUCAUAUCUACUGUUGCCAAGGGAAUUAUAUAUAAUAGAAUUUCAAAACUUUAUGAGCAGUGAAUAGAAUAAGAAUGUUUUUCUCCAUUUAGAAAGUAAACGCACAAAAGUAACACAUCAAUCUGUUUGAAAUUAGUUCACUUUAUGCUGAUAGUUUAUAAAAUGAAACUUAUUACUAAGAAUAAGGAAAGUAGAGGUACAGAUUUGUGAAAUCUUGGACAGAUUAAAUAAAACAGCCAUGUUUCAGAGUUUAGGUGGGUGGUUAUAACAAAAUGAUCUGACAUGUGUCACUCUUUAAUAGAGCUGUUGCGAAGAUUACAGAAAGAUUAUGUAAUCAAAAGCAGAGUUCUCUGAAAAUGAAUAACAUUGUUUAAUAUAGAGAUUAUUAAACUUUUUUAGUCUCAUAUAUUUGAAAAUCCUUCUUUUGUAUUUUGUAUUCCCAAGGCCCAGACACCUAAUAAAAAAAAUGGAAAGGUACCUGAAGCUUCCCUCAUAUCACCAGGCUUCUUUGUUUACACUGCACCUAGUAUAUUCCUCUGUUAAAGCCUUUGACAUACUGGAAUGUUAUUGAUCAUUUUAAAUAACUUUCUUCUCUUCUAACUUUUGAGCAGCAUAACUCUUUCUUCUGUCCCUAGCAUCUAGCUCCGUGAUUUGUACCCUGAAAAAUGCCCAGAUCAGAUACAGCUUUGUCACCCCAAAAGCUCACCUAGGUAGAGGCUGUUGGCUUCACCUCUGUGAUUUAUAUACUUUAUAUGUCAUCCAGUUGAAGCCAAUAGAGAAACUGACGAAUAGGUUUGUAGGCACAGUGGGAAAGUUUUUUUUUUUUUCUUUGUAGAUUCAUUAAUAUAGUAUAGGAGAAAAUCCUGACAAUUUAAAAAUUGUAGUCUUUCCUUUCAGUGGGUAUAUUCUUGUAAAAACAAAAGUUUUAUUUAAAAAAAAAAAAACACAAAAUUUACCUGAAAAACUAAGUAAGUUAUAAAAACCAGAAUUAGAUAUGAAUUCCUCAGUGUCACAUUUGCAUUUUGUGUUUUACACAUUACAUUUAUUUGUGUUGAUGUGUUAGUGGGAUAACUCUGGAUGGGCUUUGGUAUGAACAUUUUUUUCAAGCCUCUGUGUAAUAAGAUUAUUAUUUUUUAAUAAUCAUAAUUAAGCAGUAAUGAGUAAGCACUUGGCAUGUCCAGAUUUGUCUUUCUGGCCUCUGUUACAUUACCUCCCAUGUUAUAGUGGUUCCCUAAAUGGUUGCAGUGGCUGGUGAGAUUAGCUGUCCUAUUGUAGGUAUCCGUGCCUAGAGAUAAUUGCUAACUCUAGCCUUUCCAUGGUAUUUCUCAUUUCCACUAGUCACUCUUUUUGGAAGGGAUGUAGAAGAAAUAAGAGAUGGUAAAUAUUGAGUAACUUUAAUUCUCAUAUUUCUAAAGAUUCAAAAGUAUUGUUUUUACUGGGGGAUUUCUUUUCUAUCAAUAAAAAUUAGAACAUGUUAUUUCCUUCUAUUUUAAUUUCAAAUCUGUUUUUUACUUUACAUGAAUCAUUAUUAUACUUAUGACUCUUUGUGGGAGUUAGACCAGUUCCUGAAAUUACAUUCUAAAGAGAUAUCUUUGAUAUUUUAAAUGAUUAUUGCUGAAGUUAAUUUAGCUUGAAGAAGAUAAAUCUGGUGACAAUCUAAUACACUCACAGCUUUUGUUCUCCUGUCAUUCUCUCAGCAUGUGACCCGCUCUUAAUUAUAAAUUAGGGGUAAAUUUUUGCUGUCACAUAGGCUGAACUUGAAUGGCACUUGUUUUAUUAAGGUACACAUACCUUGGAGAUGGUUGGUUAAUUAUAAUGUGAAAGCUGAAGCAGGAGGUGAAAUCAUAUGAUACAUGAAAAUCAGACACUAUUAUGUGCCCUGUCCACACUUUCAAAAGGCUCAUUUGUGUUUCUAGAAAACCAUGGGGAAGUUUGGUGGAGUUAAGAAGAAAGGAGUCUGGUCUAGAGAGAUUAUUACCUGGCCAAGAGAAACUGCAUAUUGCUAACUUUUCAAGAAGUAGAAGUUUCUCUACUCCAUGGGAAACAGUUUUAAGAAAGUAAUUGUUUCUGGGAAAGGGAUGAGGGGGAUAGGUUUCAGGAGGGAUACAAAGAGAUGUAAAUUGAUUCUAUACUAUCUUACUUCUUAAGAAAAUGAAUAUGACAAAAUUUUAAGAUUUAAAGAAAUCUUAAUGGUAGACAAAUAUCAUGAACAUUCACCUCUGUACUUCUGGAUGUAUUUGAAUUUAUAAAAUAAAUUAAAUUAAAACAGUAUGUUAAUUGGAGGAAUCCAAAAGUAAUUCACCAUACCAUCAUCCUGAAAUUUCAAGAAGGCAAAAAUCUUUCAGGUAACUAAAGUAUUGGGAAAUAUAAUCUGAAAUUAAGAGUGUAAAAAACUAUUGUUAAUGUACUGCAGGUAGGCUAGAUAAUAGUCUCCACAAAAUUUUGAGUGCAUUUAUAAGUGGCAGAUCACUUUUUGUAUGAGGGAAUACUGACCAUGAGAGAAUAAUUUAUAAUUAUCAACUCCAAGGCAUCACUUAAGACCUCAGUCUUAAAGAUAAAAGCUUAACAUUUGACUUGAUCAAGAAUACAACUAAAAUAUCAAUCAUUAGUGUAUGUCAUAUUAAAAAGAACAUAUAAGAUAUUAUCUCAAACUUUGAAACUAUUUUGACGCUUUGCCAUCUGGAAAAAUGGUUACAGCUUUAAUUGUCACAGCAUGAGAUAGCUAAAAUUGAAAUAGAAAAAAUCCUAAGAAAGGUUGCAAAAACAAUGCAGAAAAAGAGAAUAGGGUGAGAGGUUGCAUGAGGAUUUUUCAGGUGUGAAAGGUAAACUCUGGGAGAAGAUACACAGUUAAUAUCAAGAAAAUAUGGAGACCAUGCAUAGGGCACAUAUCCACACCUAUUGUAGAAAUCCCCUCACAAAACAGAUAACACUUUCUAAGAGUAGGGUGAGAUAAAACUACAGAUGGAUUGAAAGAAGUUCAGAACAAAUCACUACUCAUUUUAUCCAUAAUGGCAAACUGAGGGAAAUGUGGCUAUUUAGGGGAAUUUUUUUCUCAUAUCCUUUCUACUCAGUAAUAAAGACUUUCUCUUUGACCAAACUUUAGGUAGGCUUCUCUAAACCCUCUUUUCAAUUAAGUUUCAGCCUUGGCCUCUGUCUUUGGUCUGCCCAGUGUAGUUUUAACAGGAAUCCUGCUAAUCAAUUUAGUGCAAAUCUCCCUACACUUGAUAUAUGAUAAUCCUGGCCUGCCCUCAGCAAGAAUCCUGUUAGGUCAGUUUAGUAAGACUCUCCCAGCCCUUGAUGUCUCCUUUCAGUAAUUUUUCCAUCCACUGACCCCCUCAUUCUUCUGGUUGACUAUAAGUCCCCAGCUAUCUGCUGUAUUGGGGGUUGAGUCUGAUCUUGCUCCCCUAUUGUGAUCAUCUUGACACCUAUUGCAAUUGUCAUGAUAAAGUUUUUCUUACUGUUUUAACCAGUGUCAGAAUAAAUUUUUUCUUUAAAAUAUGUCUGUUCUUUUUUCUGCUGAAGAUGAUACUGGGGACAAACUCAGCAUGUGAUUUCUCAUGAUCCUUAAAAGAUCAUGGUAUAGGGAGUUCCCGUCGUGGCGCAGUGGUUAACGAAUCCGACUAGGAACCAUGAGGUUGCGGGUUCAGUCCCUGCCCUUGCUCAGUGGGUUAACGAUCCGGCGUUGCCGUGAGCUGUGGUGUAGGUUGCAGACGCGGCUCGGAUCCUGCGUUGCUGUGCCUCUGGCGUAGGCUGGUGGCUACAGCUCCGAUUGGACCCCUAGCCUGGGAACCUCCAUAUGCCGCGGGAGCGGCCCAAGAAAUAGCAACAACAACAACAACAACAGAAAGACAAAAAGACAAAAGACA